UGCAUAAGCUCGCAGCACAAAAACCAAGAUAUGCCCCAGUUCUCAACAGCUGGAUGCAACUCGCUUAUGGCGGAUCUGUCCAGUGAAAGGGGUGUUUCAUUUUUCGUGCGAGUGACGUGAUGGAGCCCAGGGGUAAACGCAGUUUCAGCGAAUGUACAGGAUGCAAUGACGAAGCAGAAACUAUGCAGAGUUCGAACCGAUGUACCAAGGCACAGCGGCCCAGGUUAACGCCUUGGUCAUUCUUUAAAUGCACUGACCCUGCCCUUGAACCAACAUGACACCAGAAAAAAGCACUCUCGCACCGCCAAUCUUGGUGCAGUGUGUUCUGCUCUGCUCGGAGAUCAACUGUCCUGGUCGUCCUGGUCUCUCGUCGGAUACGAACUGUUAUAUCCUGCACACGGACUGAAUAGGGAACACCUUGUCGAAGGAAACUCGGUAGAAUGAGCUGCAGCUGUGGAGAACAGAGACAUGUCCGUUGCAGCAGUGAAGAUUCCUUGCAGGAGGAGAAGAAUAGGCCACGUGACGCGCCAUUCUCGUGACGUCAAAUGACUUAUAAUGUCACGAAAUGUCAGAACAUUCAUUUCGAAGUUGGGAUCAGCGGAUCUCAGACCCGUGACUAUAAGAAGUACAUUCUUCGAUAUGACGCCGUGUUGUUCGCUUCAUCGAUUUUUCGGAGGACCUUACAGCGCCCAUCUUCAUAGUUGAAGAUAUUCCAAUUAUCUCAGCUUGCUAGAAAUAUCUUCAUCUUUGAAAAUGGAGAGACUGCCCUCUCCGAAACGUCGGUGACAUAUUUACCCGCCUAUAGAGCUUUACAUGUAGAAAUACGACCUGCAGUGUUCUUAUGAAUUUAAAAUUUUAAGAAGAGAAGUUGGCCUGUGUAGUAUAUAAAUGUUCACCCCUCAGCUAGA